GCCGGGAUAGCUCAGUGGUAGAGCACCUGUUUUGUAAACAGUAGGUCGUGGGUCCGAAUCCCACUCCCGGCU
rnacentral:tRNA from 1 species